UCAAAACAAUAUGGCGGCAUGUGCUCAAGAAGAAAACAUCACAGAUACACACGAGCAAAACGUGAAACACAUGCUUUCUCGCAUUGCAAGCACUGAUGCUGUUGUAAAAAGUCAGCAGAGAGGCGAACCAGAAUUAGCUGUGGAUGAGAAAAUUGCUAUUUUACACGAGCUUUACGAUAAAAAACCAGCUUCUUUUCUUAUGCGAUUUGGAAGAUAUCUUUCCGAAAAAGACCUAGGAAAUUUCGAACAUUUAAGGGGAGAAUAUGAGAUAGAUUUUCGUCUUAAAGAAGUAAAAAAUAUCCUUGAUGGUAAGAAGAAGAAAACAGGGAUACGUAACAGACGAUAUGAAUGUUUACAGCGAUUAAUGAAAGACACGGAUUUCUUCAGCGAAGAGCAGAUGAGAAAAAGGUCCCCUCUUCUUUACGAACAAUAUAUAGGUCAGUAUCUUACUGCAGAGGAAAAACUUGACCGGGACAGAGCUGAAGUUGGAGACGAUCUGUGCCUGUCACAAAUGAUCAUGAAUAGACAAGAGAAGGAAAUGAACGAUUGGUAUCUCAAUUAUCAGAGAGAUCAGGAGGCUUGUCUAGAAGAAGAAGAGGAAGAAUCAGAUAUGGAGAGUGACAGCUCAAUCGAUAAAGUGGAACCUGGGAGUCCAAUCAAGGGAUGUCCUACUAAGGAAGAAAAACUUAUGCUCCAUGAAGAAUUUCUUAGUGCAAUGCAAGACAAAUUCAUGAGAGGUGAAGAAGAAGAGUUUGACUAUAGUUCAGUUGACGCAAAUGAUGAGUAUGAUGAUCUGACCAUACGAGGAAGAGAUGAAGAAGAACAGUACUUUGACAGUGAAGACAUGUAAGUGUCUCACCUUUUUAAAUCUAUCAGCUGUAUACUGAACAUGAAAACUUGACCCAUGAGUUACCCAUGGGAGGCAUGGUGGUCUAAUGAUCAGUGCACAGGAUCCUACAUCAAAAGGUUCAAGGCCUGAUGAUCAGUAUAGAGGAUUCCACAUCAAAAGGUUCAAGGCAUAAUGAUCAGUGCACAGGAUUCCACAUCAAAAGGUUCAAGGCUUAAUGAUCAGUGCACAGGAUUCCACAUCAAAAGGUUCAAGGUUGGCAGUGUUGACGGCUAUUGAAUCUUUGGAGUCAGUGAAAGAGAAACUUAAUAGAAAAGCAGACACUACCAGAAUAUCUCUAUUAUUUUCAUGUGGAUUUAUUUGUUUCUUCCUGUUGAUUAUUUAUUAUGAAUUUAGAAUUCAUCACCCUUAAAUAACCAACCAUGAAGCAUGGACAAUUUUAAAAAAGCAGAAAUAAAUAAUCAUUGUACAUCUAGGAGCUGUCUCCGUCCCCUAUGUGACUUUAUCAUUUUAAAAUUUACUUAACAUAAAUGGCCACAUUACGUAUCAUGAUGACAAAAAAAAA
rnacentral:misc_RNA from 1 species